rnacentral:rRNA from 1 species
AGAACGAACGCUGGCGGCAUGCCUAAUACAUGCAAGUCGAACGAACACUUCGGUGUUAGUGGCGCACGGGUGCGUAACGCGUGGGAAUCUGCCCUUGGGUUCGGAAUAACAGUUGGAAACGACUGCUAAUACCGGAUGGUAUCGAAAGAUCAAAGAUUUAUCGCCCAGGGAUGAGCCCGCGUAGGAUUAGCUAGUUGGUGAGGUAAAGGCUCACCAAGGCGACGAUCCUUAGCUGGUCUGAGAGGAUGAUCAGCCACACGUGGGACUGAGACGACGGCCCAGACUCCGUACGGGAGGCAGCAGUAGGGAAUAGUGGACAGUGGGCGACAAGCCUGACUCCAGCAAUCGCCGCGUGAGUGAGUGAACGGUCCGUUAGGGUUAGUAAACGUCCUUACUUUACCGAG